GAAUGUGAGGGUGAUCUGGCUGUGACAUCUGUCAGGCCAUGGUCAGGGUUGAUUUGCUGAUCUGGCUGGACAGGCUGGUGUUCCCUUCCUCCCUCACUGCUCCAUCUGCAUCCCUCCCAAAGCUGGACAAUCAGUCCAAGAGGACUGGUUCCUCAGUCCAGGGUGCAGGAGUAGCCGUGAUCCCCUGCUGGAACCUCCAAACAAGCUCUCAAGAAUCACAGAUGCUCAAGGGCUUGAGGAGCAGUGAUCCAGGCCAAGACCAAUGAGGUGCUGUCUCAGGAUGGCCCCAAAGGGGCAGGAGGCCCCAUGGAGACCGCUUAUAUUUUCAACACUCUGCCAUGACUA
rnacentral:sRNA from 1 species